rnacentral:lncRNA from 1 species
UUUUCUUUAAGAUCUAGAUCUGAGAAUAUCUGUAGAUUUUGAUGAAGCCGCACAUGCAUCCGAUCUCUAUAGGUAUCCAUACAAGGAUGAUUUAGAUCAAGAGAUUUCGAAGACCAUCAAAGUGCUAGCUCCCUUGCAGGCUUCUCUCCUUCAAGGCUGAAUCUUCCUUUGAUCUCUUGUUCUCUUCACUAGAGAAUAGAUCUAAGAUUAGAGGAGGAAGAAGAAAGAAAAAGGCUAGAUCUUUUUACGAUCAACACUUGGGCAUG